GUGCCAGCAGCCGCGGUAAUACGAGAGGCCCAAACGUUAUUCGGAUUUACUGGGCUUAAAGAGUUCGUAGGCGGUCCAGAAAGUGGGGUGUGAAAUCCCUCGGCUCAACCGAGGAACUGCGCUCCAAACUACUGGACUCGAGGGGGAUAGAGGUAAGCGGAACUGAUGGUGGAGCGGUGAAAUGCGUUGAUAUCAUCAGGAACACCGGAGGCGAAGGCGGCUUACUGGGUCCUUUCUGACGCUGAGGAACGAAAGCUAGGGGAGCAAACGGGAUUAGAUACCCCAGUAGUCC
rnacentral:rRNA from 1 species